CCACUCAUUAAAAGAGUGCGUAAUAGCUCACUGGUCGAGUGACUCUGCGCCGAAAAUUCAACGGGGCUAAAAUUCAUACCGAAGCUUGGGCUUGACAGUAAUGUCAGGGGUAGGGGAGCGUCGUAUACGAGGUGAAGUCAUAGCGGAAGCGGUGGUGGAUUGUAUACGAGUGAGAAUGCCGGAAUGAGUAGCGAAAAUUAUGUGAGAAUCAUAAUGGCCGAAAGUCUAAGGUUUCCUGAGGAAGGUUCGUCCUCUCAGGGUUAGCCGGGAGCUAAGGUGAGGCGGAAACGCGUAGCCGAUGCACAUACGGUAGAAAUUCCGUAGCCUCCGAAGAUUUAAGCACAGGGACACUUUUGAAGGGCUGAGCCGGGCGUUGGUUGCCCCGGUCGAAAGGGACACGAGUGAGUGGAAGUCAGUUUGGAAAGAGGCGAGAAAAGCUGUGUGUAUAUGGAAGGAGCCCGUACCGCAAACCGACACAGGUAGACAGGAAGAAGAUUCUAAGGCCAGCGGGAGAAGGGUUGUUAAGGAACUCGGCAAGUUGACCCCGUAACUUCGGGAGAAGGGGUGCUUACGAAGGUAAGCCGCAGAGAAUAGGCCCAAGCGACUGUUUAGCAAAAACACAGCUCUAUGCUAAAUCGAAAGAUGACGUAUAUGGGGUGACACCUGCCCGGUGCUGGAAGGUUAAGAGGAGAUGUGAGAGCAUUGAAUUGAAGCCCCAGUAAACGGCGGCCGUAACUAUAACGGUCCUAAGGUAGCGAAAUUCCUUGUCAGGUAAGUUCUGACCCGCACGAAUGGUGUAACGAUCUGGGCACUGUCUCAACAACCCGCCCGGCGAAAUUGUAGUACCGGUGAAGAUGCCGGUUACCCGCGACUAGACGGAAAGACCCCAUGGAGCUUCACUGCAGCUUAAUAUUGGAUUUCGGUAUUUCAUGUACAGGAUAGGUGGGAGACUGGGAAAUACAGGCGUCAGCUUGUAUGGAGUCAUUGUUGGGAUACCACUCUUGAGGUGCUGGAAUUCUAACCUGUGGCCUUGAAUCAGGUCAGGGGACAUUGUUAGGCGGGCAGUUUGACUGGGGCGGUCGCCUCCUAAAAGGUAACGGAGGCGCUCAAAGGUUCGCUCAGCAUGGACGGAAACCAUGCCAGAGAGUGCAAACGCAUAAGCGAGCCUAACUGCGAGACUGACGGGUCGAGCAGUAACGAAAGUUGGAGUUAGUGAUCCGGCGGUAUGUGAGUGGAAAUGCCGUCGCUCAACGGAUAAAAGCUACCCUGGGGAUAACAGGCUGAUCUCCCCCAAGAGUCCACAUCGACGGGGAGGUUUGGCACCUCGAUGUCGGCUCAUCGCAUCCUGGGGCUGUAGUCGGUCCCAAGGGUUGGGCUGUUCGCCCAUUAAAGCGGUACGCGAGCUGGGUUCAGAACGUCGUGAGACAGUUCGGUCCCUAUCUGUCGUGGGCGUUGGAGAUUUGAAAGGAGCUGUCCCUAGUACGAGAGGACCGGGAUGGACGCACCUCUGGUGCACCAGUUGUCACGCCAGUGGCACAGCUGGGCAGCUAUGUGCGGAACGGAUAAACGCUGAAAGCAUCUAAGCGUGAAGCCGCCCUUAAGAUAAGAUCUCCUUUAAGACCCCUUGUAGACUACGAGGUUGAUAGGUCUGAUGUGUAAGCAUGGUGACAUGUUUAGCUUGCAGAUACUAAUCGGUCGUUCGCUUUUCCU
rnacentral:rRNA from 1 species